rnacentral:rRNA from 1 species
UACAGGGGGUGCAAACGUUGCUCGGAAUUAUUGGGCGUAAAGCGCACGUAGGCGGUUUGUUAUGUCGGAUGUGAAAGCCCUUGGCUCAACUGAGGAAGUGCAUCCGAAACUGGCAAGCUAGAGUAUGUAAGAGGGUCGCGGAAUUCCCGGUGUAGAGGUGAAAUUCGUAGAUAUUAGGAAGAACACCAGUGGCGAAGGCGGCUCACUGGCCCGGUACUGACGCUCAUGUGCGAAAGCGUGGGGAGCAAACAGG